rnacentral:tmRNA from 1 species
GGGGGCGUUCCGGUUUCGACGGGAAUGAAGAAGGCCGGGUUGCACGCCGUGGUUGGUCGAUGGCCACGUAAAAAUCGACCACAAUAGAAUUGCCAACACGCAAUUCACCCCCGCUUACGCCUAGCGCGUAGCGGCGUCCCUUUCCGCCCGCGCCCGUAAGGCGGACAAGGGGCGAAAUCAGUUCGGGCUAGAGGUCGGUGGUUGCCCAUACCAAUCCGGCAUCGAAGAUGAAAUGGGAUGCGUGACCGGUACAGUGGUCGUCCUUGCCGCCCUGGACGACCCCACCAAGCGGUCCGGGCGGAUAAGCGUGUAGAUACCCGCGCUGGAGCAUUUUCGGACGGGGGUUCGACUCCCCCCGCCUCCACCA